UACAGAGGUCUCAAGCGUUGUUCGGAUUUAUUGGGCGUAAAGGGAGUGUAGGCUGUGAGGUAAGUCUUCUGUGAAAUCUACGGGCUUAGCCUGUAACGUGCAGAGGAAACUGCUUCGCUUGAGUGUCGGAGAGGAUAGGGGAAUACCCGGUGUAGAGGUGAAAUUCGUAGAGAUCGGGUGGAACACCAGUGGCGAAGGCGCCUAUCUGGCUGACAACUGACGCUGAGACUCGAAAGCAUGGGGAGCAAACAGG
rnacentral:rRNA from 1 species